rnacentral:rRNA from 1 species
GACGAACGCUGGCGGCGUGCUUAACACAUGCAAGUCGAACGGAAAGGCCCUGCUUUUGUGGGGUGCUCGAGUGGCGAACGGGUGAGUAACACGUGAGUAACCUGCCCUUGACUUUGGGAUAACUUCAGGAAACUGGGGCUAAUACCGGAUAGGAGCUCCUGCUGCAUGGUGGGGGUUGGAAAGUUUCGGCGGUUGGGGAUGGACUCGCGGCUUACCAGCUUGUUGGUGGGGUAGUGGCUUACCAAGGCUUUGACGGGUAGCCGGCCUGAGAGGGUGACCGGCCACAUUGGGACUGCGAUACGGCCCAGACUCCUACGGGAGGCAGCAGUGGGGAAUAUUGCACAAUGGGCGGAAGCCUGAUGCAGCAACGCCGCGUGCGGGAUGACGGCCUUCGGGUUGUAAACCGCUUUCGCCUGUGACGAAGCGUGAGUGACGGUAAUGGGUAAAGAAGCACCGGCUAACUACGUG